rnacentral:rRNA from 2 species
UCUCCGUUGGUCGAACAGCGGAGGGAUCAUUA